UACGUAGGGGGCGAGCGUUGUCCGGAUUUAUUGGGCGUAAAGAGCUCGUAGGCGGUUUGGCAAGUCGGGUGUGAAAACUCCGGGCUCAACUCGGAGACGCCACUCGAUACUGCUAUGACUCGAGUCCGGUAGGGGAGUGCGGAAUUCCUGGUGUAGCGGUGAAAUGCGCAGAUAUCAGGAGGAACACCGGUGGCGAAGGCGGUCUGCUGGGCAGUGGCUGACACUGAGGCGCGACAGCGUGGGGAGCAAACAGG
rnacentral:rRNA from 1 species